rnacentral:misc_RNA from 1 species
GAUGAAGAACGCAGCGAAAUGCGAUAAGUAAUGUGAAUUGCAGAAUUCAGUGAAUCAUCGAAUCUUUGAACGCACAUUGCGCCCGCCAGUAUUCUGGCGGGCAUGCCUGUUCGAGCGUCAUUACAACCCUCAGGCCCCCGGGCCUGGCGUUGGGGAUCGGCAGAAGCCCCCUGUGGGCACACGCCGUCCCUCAAAUACAGUGGCGGUCCCGCCGCAGCUUCCAUUGCGUAGUAGCUAACACCUCGCAACUGGAGAGCGGCGCGGCCAUGCCGUAAAACACCCAACUUCUGAAUGUUGACCUCGAUUCAGGUAGGAAUACCCGCUGAACUUAAGCAUAUCAAUAAGCGGAGGA